rnacentral:rRNA from 1 species
GAUGAACGCUAGCUACAGGCUUAACACAUGCAAGUCGAGGGGCAGCGGGAGCUUAGCUUGCUAAGUUUGCCGGCGACCGGCGCACGGGUGAGUAACACGUAUCCAACCUGGCCCAUACUCGGGUAUAGCCUCCCGAACGGUAGACUAAUCCCCGAUGUUGUUGUUUCACCGCAUGGUGUAUCGUCCAAAGAGAUCCGGUAUGGGAUGGGGAUGCGCUCCAUUAGGUAGUAGGCGGGGUAACGGCGCACCUAGCCGACGAUGGGUAGGGGUUCUGAGAGGAAGGUCCCCCACACUGGAACUGAGACACGGUCCAGACUCCUACGGGAGGCAGCAGUGAGGAAUAUUGGACAAUGGCCGAGAGGCUGAACCAGCCAAGUAGCGUGAAGGAUGACUGCCCUAUGGGUUGUAAACUUCUUUUAUAUGGGAAUAAAGUGCUUUACGUGUAGAGUUUUGUAUGUACCAUAUGAAUAAGCAUCGGCUAAUUCCGUGCCAGCAGCCGCAGUAAAAC